GUCCAAAGAGAAGGUUUAUGGAGGUGCUGAGGGAGGACAUGCAGGUGGUUGGUGUGACAGAGGAAGAUACAGAGGACAGGGUGAGAUGGAAAAGAGUAAUAUGCCGUGGAAACUCCUAACGGGAGCAACCAAAAGAAGAAGUAGAAGAAGAAUAAGU